UCUAUUACAACCAUACAAUAGUUAUUAUAUUUAUAACAGAAAAAGAAGAAAAGGAAAAAUAAAAAUAAAAAUGAUACGGCGUCGUCUUGGUUUGCUCCCGAAAGCUAAAACACUUGCGCGAUCUGUAUAAUCUGUCUCUCUGUGUCUCUCUUUCAAAUUCAUCAUCAUCAUCAGCGCGUCUUCGAUCUGAAGUAGAAGUCAUUCGAUCCAUUGCUCUUCGACUUACACCUUCAUCUCUGCAGUUCGCCAAGCAAUCAGAGUCCGGCGAACGGCGAGACUCAGAAAUGUUGUAGUUGCUGUUUUAACAUGUAUGAUUAAUUCAGAGAUAGGUGCUUUGUUGGAGGUGUCUUGUUUAUGUUACUUGCUGAGCUGGAAGAAUACAGCUAUAUUGGUUUCCUCUGUGGACCCUGAGGGGCAUGCUUUGCUAGGUUCUGGUACUUUCUCUGCAUACAAGUUGCUAACUACAGAUUGAACUGGUGCUCUUAGCAAAAAUUAUUCGACUUGAAAAUUGGGUUUCUGAAGCUGCAAUAUGGAAUUAAGACAGUCGAAGAAGAUUGUGAAAGAAUCAUUGUAGCAUGUAAUACUAAUUCAAAAGUAGGUGCUGCGUUGGAGUUGCCUCCUUCAUGAUACUUUCUGAGAUCCUUUUGGCUUAUUAAUUGAUAGUAAUCUCCUAAUGAGUAUGUAUAUUGGGGUUCUCUGUAGACAAUGAGGGGUAUGAAUUGCUUGCUCCCAGCACUUUUUCUGCAUAGCAGUUGUUAAUUACAGAUUGAACUUGGUAUCUUAGAGAAAUUAAUUUCAAUAUGGGGCGUCUAAAGCUGCAGUCUGGAAUAAAGUCAAUUGAAGAAGAACCAGAAGAUUGUGAAACAACACCCUCUUCUAACAAAGCUGCUUUAGCAUGUACGAUUAAUUCAGAAAUAGGUGCUGUAUUGGCAGUUAUGAGGAGGAAUGUGAGAUGGGGAGGUCGUUAUAUGACAGGUGAUGAUCAGCUAGAGAACUCUCUCAUCCAGUCUUUGAAGACUUUACGGAAGCAGAUAUUUUCUUGGCAGCAUCAAUGGCAUACCGUCAAUCCUGCUGUGUAUCUCCAGCCAUUUUUGGAUGUGAUUCGAUCUGAUGAAACUGGUGCACCGAUCACAGGUGUUGCUUUGUCAUCUGUUUACAAGAUUUUAGCUCUUGAUGUACUCGAUCUAAAUACUGUUAAUGUUGAAGAUGCUAUGCACUUGGUAGUUGAUGCUGUGACUAGCUGCAGAUUUGAGGUGACUGAUCCUGCAUCAGAAGAAGUGGUCCUGAUGAAGAUACUUCAGGUUCUUCUGGCUUGCAUGAAAAGUAAAACAUCAAUUCUGCUUAGCAAUCAGCAUGUUUGUACCAUAGUGAAUACUUGUUUCCGGGUAGUUCAUCAAGCGGUGACAAAAGGCGAGUUGUUACAGCGAAUAGCCCGCCACACGUUGCAUGAACUUGUUAGGUGUAUUUUCUCACACCUUCAAGAUGUUGACAACACUGAACGUUCAUUGGUUAGAGGAGGUGGUUCUGUCAAACAGGAGGCCGGUGGGAUUGAUAAUGAUUAUAAUUUUGGGGGUAAGCAAUCAGAGAAUGGGAAUGGUAAUUCAGUAUAUGAUAGCCAAACAUCCUCUGGAAGUUUGGUUUCUAAUGCUUCUGGUGGCCUAGUUACUGGUAUGAUGGAUGAAAACAUGAUCGGAGCUGGUAACGGAAAGGAUGCUACUCCAUAUGAUUUGCAUUUAAUGACCGAACCAUAUGGCGUUCCCUGUAUGGUGGAGAUAUUUCACUUCUUUUGUCAAUUGUUGACUCUUGUUGAGGAUACGGGAGCCACUGCCAUUCCCAAACCAAAUCCUAUAGCGUUUGAUGAAAAUGUGCCUCUUUUUUCCUUGAGCUUGAUCAAUUCAGCUAUAGAAUUGGGUGGUUCCUCUAUUUGCCGACAUCCUAGAUUGUUGAGUAUGGUACAGGAUGAACUAUUCCGUAGUCUGAUGCAAUUUGGCUUGUCUGUGAGUCCACUUAUUCUUUCAAUGGUCUGUAGCAUCGUUCUGAAUCUUUAUCAUCAUUUGCGCACUGAACUUAAACUACAGCUCGAGGCUUUCUUUUCCUGUGUGAUUUUGAGGCUUGCACAGAGUCGAUAUGGGGCUAAUUAUCAGCAGCAGGAGGUCGCAAUGGAGGCUCUUGUUGACUUUUGCCGGCAGAAAACUUUUAUGGUGGAGAUGUAUGCCAACUUAGAUUGCGACAUAACUUGCAGUAAUGUGUUUGAAGACCUUGCUAAUUUGUUGUCCAAAAGUGCAUUUCCAGUGAACUGUCCUUUGUCUGCAAUGCAUAUUCUUGCUUUGGAUGGUCUGAUUGCAGUAGUUCAGGGAAUGGCUGAGAGGAUAGGCAAUGGAUCAGUCAGCUUGGAACUGUCUCCUGUAAAUCUUGAGGAGUAUACCCCAUUCUGGAUGGUGAAGUGUGACAACUAUAGUGAUCCUGAUCAUUGGGUUCCAUUUGUCCGCCGGAGGAAAUACAUCAAAAGAAGGUUGAUGAUUGGAGCUGAUCACUUUAAUCGGGACCCCAAAAAAGGGCUGGAGUUUCUCCAAGGAACGCAUCUAUUGCCUGACAAACUUGAUCCCCAAAGUGUGGCUUGCUUUUUCAGGUACACUGCUGGGUUAGAUAAGAAUCUUGUUGGAGAUUUCCUGGGAAAUCAUGAUGAGUUUUGUGUUCAGGUUCUUCAUGAAUUUGCUGGGACUUUUGACUUCCAAGACAUGAACCUGGAUACUGCAUUGCGGCUGUUUUUGGAAACUUUCCGACUGCCUGGUGAAUCACAAAAGAUACAGAGGGUUCUCGAGGCCUUUUCGGAGAGAUAUUACGAGCAAUCACCUCACAUUCUUGUUAAUAAGGAUGCUGCUUUAUUAUUGUCCUACUCAUUAAUAAUGCUCAACACAGAUCAGCACAAUGUACAGGUGAAGAAAAAGAUGACAGAGGAAGAUUUCAUCCGGAAUAAUCGGCACAUCAACGGUGGCAAUGAUCUCCCUAGAGACUUUCUGUCAGAGUUGUACCACUCAAUUUGCAAGAAUGAGAUCCGCACAACCCCCGAACAGGGUUCCGGUUUCCCUGAAAUGACCCCAAGCCGUUGGAUUGAUCUAAUGCACAAAUCCAAGAAGACUGCUCCAUUCAUUGUAUCCGAUUCCAGAGCCUACCUUGACCACGAUAUGUUUGCUAUAAUGUCAGGUCCGACAAUUGCUGCUAUCUCUGUGGUAUUUGAUCAUGCAGAACAUGAAGAUGUAUACCAAACUUGUAUCGAUGGAUUCUUGGCUGUUGCUAAGAUUUCGGCAUGCCAUCAUCUUGAAGAUGUUUUGGAUGAUCUGGUGGUGUCUCUCUGUAAGUUCACAACCCUCUUAAACCCAUCAUCUAUCGAGGAACCUGUUCUAGCCUUCGGUGAUGACAUAAAGGCCAGGAUGGCAACUGUAACAGUCUUCACCAUUGCAAAUAGAUAUGGUGAUUUCAUCCGCACAGGCUGGAGAAAUAUCCUGGAUUGCAUCUUAAAAUUGCACAAGCUUGGUCUUCUUCCUGCUCGUGUUGCCAGUGAUGCGGCGGAUGACUCAGACCUACCUUCUGACACUGGACAUGGGAAGCCUCUUACAAAUUCUUUAUCUUCAGCUCACAUGCUAUCCAUGGGGACUCCUAGGAGGUCUUCUGGACUGAUGGGUCGGUUCAGUCAGCUAUUAUCCCUUGAUACAGAGGAGCCAAGAUCUCAACCUACUGAGCAACAACUUGCAGCUCAUCAGCGCACCCUGCAGACAAUUCAGAAAUGCCACAUUGACGGCAUCUUUACGGAGAGUAAAUUUUUGCAAUCCGAUUCUUUGUUACAGCUUGCACGGGCCCUCAUUUGGGCUGCAGGGCGACCCCAGAAGGGAAAUAGUUCUCCUGAGGAUGAAGACACUGCAGUUUUCUGCUUGGAAUUGCUGAUUGCAAUAACCCUGAACAACCGGGAUAGGAUUGUACUUCUCUGGCAGGGUGUUUAUGAGCACAUAUCUAAUAUUGUUCAGUCAACUGUGAUGCCUUGUGCCCUGGUUGAGAAGGCUGUUUUUGGACUCCUUCGGAUUUGUCAGCGGUUACUUCCUUAUAAAGAAAAUCUGGCUGAUGAACUUUUGAGGUCAUUGCAGCUGGUUUUAAAGCUAGAUGCUCGGGUUGCUGAUGCUUACUGUGAGCAAAUCACACAGGAAGUCAGUCGUCUUGUGAAAGCAAAUGCCACUCACAUCAGAUCCCAAAUGGGGUGGCGAACUAUCACAUCCUUACUUUCCAUCACAGCUCGACACCCUGAAGCUUCUGAAGCAGGAUUCGACGCACUAUUAUUCAUCAUGUCUGAUGGAGCACACUUGUUGCCCGCUAAUUUUGUUCUCUGCAUAGAUGCAGCAAGGCAGUUUGCCGAGUCUCGUGUUGGACAGGCUGACCGGUCUGUUCGUGCACUGAAUCUUAUGGCAGGUUCUGCUGCUUGUUUAGCACGAUGGGCCCAAGAAAAUAGGGAAUCGUUGGGGUCUCAGGAUAUAGGGGAGAUGUGGCUGAAGCUUGUGCAGGGUAUGAGAAAAGUUUGUUUGGACCAGAGAGAGGAAGUUAGGAAUCAUGCUAUCAUAUCAUUGCAAAUGUGCUUGACAGGAGUGGAUGGCGUCCAACUUCCACAUGGUUUGUGGUUGCAAUGUUUUGAUCAUGUCAUAUUCACAAUGCUUGAUGACUUGCUGGAAAUUGCGCAGGGGCACUCUCAAAAGGACUACCGAAACAUGGAAGGAACACUAAUCCUUGCCUUGAAGCUACUGUCAAAAGUAUUUUUACAGUUGCUUCAUGAGCUCUCGCAGUUAACAACCUUUUGCAAACUGUGGCUGGGUGUUCUUGGUCGUAUGGAGAAGUAUAUGAAGGCCAAAGUCAGAGGGAAGAGAAGUGAGAAGCUUCAAGAACUAGUCCCUGAACUUCUCAAGAAUACUUUGCUUGUAAUGAAGACAAGGGGAGUGCUUGCACAGAGGAGUGCCCUAGGUGGAGAUAGCUUGUGGGAACUGACAUGGUUACAUGUGAAUAACAUUGCUCCAUCUUUGCAAUCUGUGGUGUUCCCAGAUCAAGAUUCAGUGCAGUCACAGCCUAAUCAAGUUGAAAUGGGUGGAAGUCUUGUAUCUGACGAAACUGGUUCUGCUCCUAAUGAAACUGCAACUCCAGAAGCUUGUACAGGAGGCUAACAGUUUGUACAAUGUUCUUUGAUUUGAAUUGCUUCUUUUAAUGCAUGUUCUUUACAUGGUUCACGAGGCUCGCAUUGUGAAAGUUGUUUGGGAUGUGGUUCGUCACUCCUUCAAAUGGAAUUUUGUCAUUGUGGGAGGAGGUUCUUGAAGGUCUUAGUUUUGUCCCAGAUGCUGGAUAUUCAAGGUUCGACCAAGGAGCUUCACACCACGUUCAUGUGCCUAUUAGUAACCGCAAGAUUCCUUUGGUAUUGCUUGCAGACACAAUUGUAGGGUUUUGGCAGUCUAGAGUAUAUACUUCCUGUAUGUUUCCUUGCUUGUGGAGUUAGUGUAAACUAGAGUUACAUCUGGUGGAUCAAUGAGGCGGACUUAAACAAAGCACGUAUUAUGAAUCACUUGAAUUUCCAGAAAAUUUGAUAUUGUCACGAGAACCAUUUAUGUAUAUACGUGUUAUAAGCUAUGCCAAUGGUAUCAAGUUUAUCAUC